CUACAACAAGUGCAUCUCUAAUUCAAUUGUGGAAUGUGGACACAUUUGUCUGGAAUUUUCCACAAUAUCAACCGCAACAGUGAGUUAAACAAAGUUUGUUGCUUGCAUGGCUCAAAUUAAGUAUAUGCUUGCAUUCACGGUGAGUUCGGCAAAAUUACAUUGACGCAGUGAUUUGCUGAAGCUUCAAAAUAUAGCUUUUGCUAAAAUCAUGGUGGCUCACAGUAAUUCUGCCAACCUCGUUGUCAAUCCAAACAAGCACUAAGUAAAUUCCCACCCCUACAAACAAUAAUUAGUGAAAACAAACAAAAAAAAAAUCUCAAUUUAACCCGUUCAAAAUAAUUGUUGUAUGUGCAUAGUGUUUGUAGUGAGAAUCGAAAGGAAAGUAGAAAAUAAUAAAAGGAAUUGUUUGUUGUUGUCUUAUUGAAUUGUUAAAUAAGUUUUAAAAUGAUUGCGUGCAUGAAUUAGCCCUUUGCAUAACUAUAUAUACAGGGUUAAGAAGAAAUACAUACAGUAACGAAAUGAGAAAAUGCAGGAAUGAAAGCGUGAAUCUGAUAAGAUGUAAAUUGGAAAGUUUGAGAGAGAGAGAGAGAGAGAGAGAGAGAGAACUGACUGAAAGAAUGACGAAUGAAUG
rnacentral:lncRNA from 1 species